GGUCGAUGAUUAAGUUAUAAGAGUAGUGGACAGAAGUGAUUUCUGAGAAAAUUUAACAAUGAGGCC
rnacentral:snoRNA from 1 species